rnacentral:lncRNA from 1 species
GUUUCCUUUUACAAGUUUUCUUACAAGGUUCCUGUUUAUAAUAGUUAACAAAAUUUUUCAUAAAAAAUAUCAUAUGCUUAAUCAGUAUGUACAUGUAUACAUGUUUAGGGGUGCAGGAUUAUUUGCUCUGUGUUGAAGACCCAUUGGUGGCUUCCUGAUGUUUAUUGUUCUUUGGUGGCGUUGUUGUCUCUUUGACACAUUCCCAGUCUUCAUUCUCAAUUUUAUGACCUUAAAGAUAACCAACUCAUGUAGUCAAAACAAUCAUUACAUGUAUCACAUUUCUGAUUUGGUUGAUAUCGUGAUGCUUAACCAAAAUAAUCAAAUGCCUUUAUGAUCUGAGAAAACAUUCAAACACCAGAAGACUUC